rnacentral:rRNA from 1 species
GACGAACGCUGGCGGCGUGCUUAACACAUGCAAGUCGAACGGAAAGGCCCUGCUUUUGUGGGGUGCUCGAGUGGCGAACGGGUGAGUAACACGUGAGUAACCUGCCCUUGACUUUGGGAUAACUUCAGGAAACUGGGGCUAAUACCGGAUAGGAGCUCCUGCUGCAUGGUGGGGGUUGGAAAGUUUCGGCGGUUGGGGAUGGACUCGCGGCUUAUCAGGUUGUUGGUGGGGUAGUGGCUUACCAAGGCUUUGACGGGUAGCCGGCCUGAGAGGGUGACCGGCCACAUUGGGACUGAGAUGCGGCCCAGACUCCUACGGGAGGCAGCAGUGGGGAAUAUUGCACAAUGGGCGGAAGCCUGAUGCAGCAACGCCGCGUGCGGGAUGACGGCCUUCGGGUUGUAAACCGCUUUCGCCUGUGACGAAGCGUGAGUGACGGUAAUGGGUAAAGAAGCACCGGCUAACUACGUG